UCGACCUGACAUCAAGGGAGACUACCCGCCGAAUUUAAGCAUAUUAAUAAGCGGAGGAAAAGAAAACAACUGUGAUUCCCUUAGUAACGGCGAGUGAAACGGGAACAGCCCAUCGCCGAACUGCUGGUCAUCCAGGCCAUGCGGAAUGUGGCGUUUGGAAGGGUCUCUUCCAAGGCUCGGACGCCUGUCAAAGUCCAACUUGACAGUGGCCACAGCCCAUAGAGGGUGAUAGGCCCGUAAGGCGGUUGUCCGGCUUUGCUGACCUCUUCCCAGAGUCGGGUUGCUUGAGAGUGCAGCCCAAAGUGCGAGGUAAACUCCUCGUAAGGCUAAAUAUGACCCCAAGACCGAUAGAAAACAAGUACAGUGAUGGAAAUUUGAAAAGAACUUUGAAGAGAGAGUUAAGAGUACGUGAAACUGUGCGGCAGUAAACGAAGCCUUCCUCGAAGUUUUCCCGGUGGACCCAACCUAGCCGCUGGGUAGCUCUUGUCGUUCGAUCAGCAAUGACGGGCGGCGGGAUGCUUACUCGGUGGACGGGUGCAUCUCCACUGGGUUUGACGGUAGGAACUGUUGCGACUGGACCUAAGGCCUGGGAUGAAGUUUUCGCCUCGGCGUCAGCUCCCGGUGUCCUGGCUCUGGAUGCGACAGGCCAUGUGGCCAACUUGUACAGCAAGCAACCCUUCUGUUGCGGUUGGCCGUUCUCUACCGAGUAGGUCGGCGGAGGCUUCGACCCGUCUUGAAACACGGACCAAGGAGUCUAACAUGUAUACGAGUCGUUGGGUUGACUAAACCCUGAGGCGCAGUGAAAGCAAAGAGCUGCUUGCAGCUCGAGGGACGAGGCCUAACCGCUGCAGUCCCGCCAUUUCCAAUCAUCCUCGUAUGUUGGGAAUAGGCAGAGUAUAGAUGUUGGGACCC
rnacentral:rRNA from 1 species